AUUGAACGCUGGCGGCAUGCCUUACACAUGCAAGUCGAACGGCAGCAUGGAGAGCUUGCUCUCUGAUGGCGAGUGGCGAACGGGUGAGUAAUGCAUCGGAACGUACCGUGUAAUGGGGGAUAACGUAGCGAAAGUUACGCUAAUACCGCAUACGACCUGAGGGUGAAAGCAGGGGAUCGCAAGACCUUGCGUUAUACGAGCGGCCGAUGUCAGAUUAGCUAGUUGGUGAGGUAAAGGCUCACCAAGGCGACGAUCUGUAGCGGGUCUGAGAGGAUGAUCCGCCAGACUGGGACUGAGACACGGCCCAGACUCCUACGGGAGGCAGCAGUGGGGAAUUUUGGACAAUGGGGGAAACCCUGAUCCAGCCAUGCCGCGUGAGUGAAGAAGGCCUUCGGGUUGUAAAGCUCUUUCGGCCGGGAAGAAAUCGCACAGGCUAAUACUCUGUGUGGAUGACGGUACCGGCAUAAGAAGCACCGGCUAACUACGUGCCAGCCGCCGCAGUAA
rnacentral:rRNA from 1 species